AACGAACGCUGGCGGCAUGCCUAACACAUGCCAGUCGAACGAUGCCUUCGGGCAUAGUGGCGCACGGGUGCGUAACGCGUGGGAAUCUGCCUUCCGGUUCGGAAUAACUCAGGGAAACUUGAGCUAAUACCGGAUAACGUCGCAAGACCAAAGAUUUAUCACCGAAAGAUGAGCCCGCGUAGGAUUAGCUAGUUGGUGAGGUAAAGGCUCACCAAGGCGACGAUCCUUAGCUGGUCUGAGAGGAUGAUCAGCCACACUGGGACUGAGACACGGCCCAGACUCCUACGGGAGGCAGCAGUGGGGAAUAUUGGACAAUGGGCGAAAGCCUGAUCCAGCAAUGCCGCGUGAGUGAUGAAGGCCUUAGGGCUGUAAAGCUCUUUUACCCGGGAAGAUAAUGACGGUACCGGGAGAAUAAGCCCCGGCUAACUCCGUG
rnacentral:rRNA from 1 species